AGUCUGUAUUGGAAAAGGGAAGGUGUCUGGGAUUGUGCUACUGCAUGAGAAGUACACCUGUCCAUGGCCAGUCUGCACAUGAGCUCAAGACACAGCACCUCCUCCUCAAAAUGCCUUUUUCAGUACUUGAUGGAUAACUUCCGCUGAUGUAAUCCUGCCCUUGAGCUUCACAGCAUCAUGGGACCACUGAGGCCUCAGGCAACUCUAAUAAAAAUUUAGCUGUGAAGUGAUUUUUUUCCCCAAAAAUUAUGUAGAAUGGCUGCCAGGUACUAAUGGCAAUGGGUCUUUUACUGUAAUAAAUUUUUUUAAAAUUUAAACAUUCAUUGUAUCUUUAAUCACAUAUCAUAUAUUGAUGAAGAAAUUGAUAGUAUGUUUAAUAUAGUAAGUACAUUUUUUUUAAGAAAAGGAAAACAGGGCUAAGGCAGGAUAGGUUUCAAUAUGAAAUAGGGAGUCAGCA
rnacentral:lncRNA from 1 species